UACGGGGGGAGCAAGCGUUGUUCGGAUUUACUGGGCGUAAAGGGCGCGUAGGCGGCCAGCACAAGUCAGUUAUGAAAUCUCCGGGCUUAACUCGGAAAGGUCAACUGAUACUGUGCGGCUAGAGUGCGGAAGGGGCAACUGGAAUUCUCGGUGUAGCGGUGAAAUGCGUAGAUAUCGAGAGGAACACCUGCGGCGAAGGCGGGUUGCUGGGCCGACACUGACGCUGAUGCGCGAAAGCCAGGGGAGCGAACGGG
rnacentral:rRNA from 1 species